UCGCGGCUUAUCACCGGCAGUCCCCUUAGAGUGCCCAACUGAAUGAUGGCAACUAAGGGCGAGGGUUGCGCUCGUUGCGGGACUUAACCCAACAUCUCACGACACGAGCUGACGACAGCCAUGCAGCACCUCUAUGGCGGCCCCCGAAGGGGAAACACUGUUUCCAGCGCGGUCCACCACAGUUCAAGCCCAGGUAAGGUUCUUCGCGUUGCGUCGAAUUAAACCACAUGCUCCACCGCUUGUGCGGGCCCCCGUCAAUUCCUUUGAGUUUCAGCCUUGCGGCCGUACUCCCCAGGCGGGGCACUUAAUGCGUUAGCGCCGGCCCUCACGGGGUCGCUCCCCCAAGGACCUAGUGCCCAUCGUUUACGGCGUGGACUAC
rnacentral:misc_RNA from 1 species